rnacentral:rRNA from 1 species
GGGUUGUGAGGUUAAGCGACUAAGCGUACACGGUGGAUGCCCUGGCAGUCAGAGGCGAUGAAGGACGUGCUAAUCUGCGAUAAGCGUCGGUAAGGUGAUAUGAACCGUUAUAACCGGCGAUUUCCGAAUGGGGAAACCCAGUGUGAUUCGUCACACUAUCAUUAACUGAAUCCAUAGGUUAAUGAGGCGAACCGGGGGAACUGAAACAUCUAAGUACCCCGAGGAAAAGAAAUCAACCGAGAUUCCCCCAGUAGCGGCGAGCGAACGGGGAGGAGCCCAGAGCCUGAAUCAGUGUGUGUGUUAGUGGAAGCGUCUGGAAAGGCGCGCGAUACAGGGUGACAGCCCCGUACACAAAAAUGCACAUACUGUGAGCUCGAUGAGUAGGGCGGGACACGUGGUAUCCUGUCUGAAUAUGGGGGGACCAUCCUCCAAGGCUAAAUACUCCUGACUGACCGAUAGUGAACCAGUACCGUGAGGGAAAGGCGAAAAGAACCCCGGCGAGGGGAGUGAAAAAGAACCUGAAACCGUGUACGUACAAGCAGUGGGAGCCUCUUUAUGGGGUGACUGCGUACCUUUUGUAUAAUGGGUCAGCGACUUAUAUUCUGUAGCAAGGUUAACCGAAUAGGGGAGCCGAAGGGAAACCGAGUCUUAACUGGGCGUUAAGUUGCAGGGUAUAGACCCGAAACCCGGUGAUCUAGCCAUGGGCAGGUUGAAGGUUGGGUAACACUAACUGGAGGACCGAACCGACUAAUGUUGAAAAAUUAGCGGAUGACUUGUGGCUGGGGGUGAAAGGCCAAUCAAACCGGGAGAUAGCUGGUUCUCCCCGAAAGCUAUUUAGGUAGCGCCUCGUGAAUUCAUCUCCGGGGGUAGAGCACUGUUUCGGCAAGGGGGUCAUCCCGACUUACCAACCCGAUGCAAACUGCGAAUACCGGAGAAUGUUAUCACGGGAGACACACGGCGGGUGCUAACGUCCGUCGUGAAGAGGGAAACAACCCAGACCGCCAGCUAAGGUCCCAAAGU